UACGGAGGAUGCAAGCGUUAUCCGGAAUGAUUGGGCGUAAAGCGUCCGCAGGUGGCUGUGUAAGUCUGCUGUCAAAGAGCGAAGCUCAACUUCGUAAAGGCAGUGGAAACUACACGGCUAGAGUGCGUUCGGGGCAGAGGGAAUUCCUGGUGUAGCGGUGAAAUGCGUUGAGAUCGGAAGGAACGCCCGUGGCGAAAGCGGGCGCCUGGACCCCACCUGACGCUGAGACGCGAAAGCCAGGGGAGCGAACGGG
rnacentral:rRNA from 1 species